GAUGGAAACUUUCAUGUUUUUGGAAGAUAGUAUUUUCCGUGUAAAGCUUUUCCUCUAAUUAGAUUUGCCACUUGUGCUGAUGGAGGAAUUGGUUGUUCAAGUAAGUUUACUUGAACACAUUAUUUUGCUAUGAUGUUUAGCGGCCUCAUUUUGUUCUUCUGAAGAUACUCUAUGCAGGUUUUGCAUUUUGCUAUGUUUCCAGAACCAGAAUACGAUCUGCCUAUAUUCUGUGCCAACUUUUUCACUGCUGCCGAGACAAUUAUAGUUGUUCUGGACCUUGACCCUCUAGAUGACGUCGUCAAGCACAAAGAAUACAAAGAUAAGUGCUACGAAGGCCUGAUGUCUCAAGUAUGCUGAGCUUUUACCAUGGGGUGGAAAUUUAACGGGCGAAUCGUUGAGAUUCUUCUCACCAAUAGUCAUAUGGACCAGGCUUAAGUCUAGUCAACACAUGCAUGACGUUUGAUACCCUGCAUUCGUGGAUUAUCUCAAGGCUUGGCUUGUUUUGAUGGACCUAGGAAUAAGGGAGACUGAUGCAUCUCAAAUUAUAGCCAACCGUGAAGCGCAGCAUCGGUAUCUGACUUUGAGAGCAGAAAAGGUUAAUCACCUGGUCACUCAUCUCCUCCCCUAUAUUCAUCUACAGCCUGCUUGCGAAGUUUAUUUAUUACAUGCACAUGCAGGGAC